rnacentral:lncRNA from 1 species
UAGCAGUCUUCAUCGCUUUGUGGUAUCUAUGUGAACAGUUGUGUCCUUCCUAAGAGAGUGUCCAAUUACACGCACGGCAGGGAAAAGCAAGAGAUCAGCAGUUGACUAUGCUUUUGUCUAAGACAGGUAAAUGGAUGCCAAGACAACAGAGAAAUAGGAAUCUUUUUGUGUAGUUAUAUAUUAAUUUGUUUGCAAUAUUAGCUUGCAAAUAGA